GGGAGGAAGGCUUGCGGGCGUGCGGACUCGGCUUCGGGCCGAGCGCUUUGAAGAAUUUUGCAGAACCCUGCUACCUACAGACUCUGCCAUGGACGUCAUGUAAAGAAACCCCGGAUGUAGUAACGGACAAAACAUGAGUCAGUUUGUGUUGUGGCAUUCAGAUCUGAACACACUGGGAGAGAUUGUGGAGGACCUGAGGAACUUACGGAGUUCGUUUGUUUUCUGUCCACUGUGACUCCAGAAGUGAUUCUGAAUGGAGAAGACGUAGGACCGGUCAGUGGUAGGAUGGACUGUGCUUGGAAGACAGGCACCUGGAGCUCUCAGUUUGGACUAGGCUGGCUGGCAGUAAGCCCCCAGGAUCCUCCUGUUCUCACACUAGAGGCAUCAAACACCAAGAUUGUGAAGACCAUGGCCCAUCCUUAUGCAUUCAAGAGUUGAAUGUGGAUGACUUGGAGCUGAAAAACCCCUUCAGAAGCUUCAUGUGUCACGUGCAUUGAAGCUCUGCAUUAAACCCGCUCGCACAAGUAAAUGCUCAAAGGGACUGAAGGCCAUUAGUACAGUUUUUAUGUCUCUUUCUUUUACUUCAGUUUCUUUAGCCAUCAGGGUCCUUAAUGUUUCUUGUCUUUACUAUAGUAAAGACUCAGAGAAAGGCUACUUUCCAUGAAGUAGUAUGUACUUUCCAUGAAGUAGUAUGUACUUUCCAUGAAGUAGUAUGUACUUUCCAUGAAGUAGUAUGUACUUUCCAUGAAGUAGUAUGUUCUGUGGCCACACGCCUUUAUUACUGGAGAUGGGCAUUUUCACUUGAGUGUUUUGUUACAGCCUAUUAAAAAUUUGAUUCAGUAAUGUGAAAGUGAGGAUAAAAUAUCAAAAAAUUACAAUAUUAGAGAAGUAUGUGCUUAACAUGUGUAAAGCCCCAGGUCCAGUCUGCUGCAUUGUGUGGGGUGGUUAGGGGCUGUGUGGAUGUGCAAGGCCCAGGGUCCAGUUUGCUGCAUUGUGUGGGGUGGCUAGGGGCUGUGUGAUGUGGUAGAAGUGACUUAAGCUGAGACCUUGGGUAAGGAGCCCUAAGAGUUAGUGGCUCUCAGCCCACCACUGCCUCUUACAGCUAUGUGACUGGGAAAGGUCUUCUCUCUGUGUCUUCAUUGGGCUGGCCAGCAGCUGUUUAAAUGAAAGAAUUUAGGGGUAUUCACCGUGUGUCUGCAUAGUAAGAGUAACAUUGUUUCCAUUUUUAUAUGUAACAAUGUGUGCAGUUGGUAAUUAAGUCAAAGUUUUCUUUUUCUUGUGUGUUGCUGUCACAAUUUUCAAAGUAUAAUUUUAGCUCUAGUGCCUUUCUACACAUUUUAAUCCUUGGAGAUUCAUUUCAUUCCUUUCAUACCUGUGAGGAAGGAGUUAGUACUAAUAUCAAUGACAUCUGGUUUAAUUGAAAUAUUUUGUGUUUCAUAAAAUAUAGAAAGCCAGGUAGCCUGUGCUACUGUCUAUCCUGAUACUUACAACACUUAAGAAUUGUUCAACUUCAACUUUUUAGGAAAAUUAUGCUAAGUGUUUUACUUUAGGUAUUUUGUUUAUUUUAUUUUGAUGUGUGUGUGUGUGUGUGUGUGUGUAUGAAUGUAUGUAUAAGAGAGGGUGUAUGUGAGUGAGCCUGUGUGUGAGUGAGCAUGCUUGAGUAUGUGUGUGAGUGUGUAUGUGUGCGAGCAUGUGUGAGCCUGUUAGCAGUCAAGUGCCUGAGUGAAUGAAUGAAUGAAUGAAUAUGUAUGAGUGUGUUUAUGUGAGCCUGUCCAAGUGCAAAUAUGUGUGUGUGUGUGUGUGUGUGUGUGUGUGUGUGUGUGUGUGUGUUAUCACUCCUCAUGUGCCAUCUGUCUUUUUUGUUUGUUUGACAUAGAGUCUCUCAUUGGUCUGGAACUGGCCAGUGGCCAAGUAGACCAGGCUGGCUGGCCAGUGAGCCUCAGGGAUCUGCCUGGUUCUACCUCCCCAGCUCUGAGAUUAUAAACCCACACCAGGAUGUCAGAUCCUCAUUCUUGCAGAACACUUUACUGACUAAGCUAACUUCUUAGCUCCCUGUGUGGUUUUGUUUUUGUUUUUGUUUUUGUUUUGUUUUGUCUUUUGAGACUUAGGAGCUUGGUGUUCUAUAAAGGAGAAAAUGCCAGUUUCCCCCUUCUCUUAGUAACUGAGUUUAGGUUAAUGAUUUAAGAUGCAUGUCACUGUAAUUAGCUUGUUUCUUUGAAGACAUCAUUGGUUACCAGUAAGUAGGUGACUGCUAUAGUACUCCUGGACAGUAGGGAGUGCUUUCUUCCAGAGGGUAUACAUUCUGAUUCAUGGUGAGGAAAUGUUUAUUUAUCUUAGUGUGUAUACAUAUAUGUGUGUGUGUGUGUGUUAUAUGUGUGCUGGUGCACUUCUCUCUCUGUGUGUGUGUGUGUGUGUGUGUGUGUGUGUGUGUGUGUGUGUGUGUGUGAGUGUGAGAGAGACCCAGCUUUAUGUGGGUGUUGAGAAUCUGAACUCAGGUCUUUCUGCUUUUAUAGCAAUCAUUGUACUGAACCAUGUCUCCACCCUGUUUCUUUACUGCACUGAAAUACUUUACUUGGUGCCUUGGAAUUGUUUAAAUUUAACAGAAGGCUAUACAAAGUGUUGAUUUUUCUCCUUAUACAAAUUACAUAAAUGCAUAUAAUCCCAGUGAUGUAAAUAUUUGUCAAGAAAUGUAAAAUGUGGACAGGAGCUACAUGUUGCCUAGUCAUAACCAAGCUUCUUGCAUUGGUGGAGACAGAACGAAUUGCAUAGACUUUGAGAAUUGAGCCUGCCAGGAACAAGACAGUUGGCCUCUGAUGGAGAAGCUGGCCUCUGAUGGAGAAGCUGGCCUCUGAUGGAGAAGCUUCUUACUGCCUGUGACUGACUUUCUUCUUCUUUGACCCCUCCCCUGAACCCGAAACUCCUCACAUUGAUCUUUAUGACCUUGCAUGUAGAAAUACUAGCUACCAGUGAAAAAGCCCAAGAGACACUAAUUGGAUAUCUUGACUGUCCUUGGUCUGUAUGCCCUGCCCUUAUGAAUCUAGUAUCUGCCACUGGCCUUUCUUUUCUACCUUCUAAAUACCUUUAAACUCCCUCUUUCAGGUCUAGCCUGUACCUUACUCUGUUGUCAGAUUUCCUGAGCCUCUGUAAAAGCCCCUCGCUUGGUUCUCUAUAUUUACUCUCCUUCCCUUCUCUCAUCUCGCUGCAUUCAGAGAAAUCUUCUUUUUGAUCCUCUGCUUUAAGUCCUUGAUGUUUUAUUGCCUCAGGCCGCUAAGCAACAGCAGCAGUGUCCCCUAUCCCACGUUUCCCCCUUGUGUCUCUGACGGUUUCAAUGAGAAACGACCCUCAUUGAAACCGUUUAGGACGUGCAGUCCUGCUGGGGGAAGUUUGUCACUGGGGGAAGCAUUUGAGAGCUUAAGGCUCCGUCCUACUUCAAGUUUGCUCUCAGCUUGGACUAGUGGUUGAGAUGAGAGAUGCUAGCUUCUUUUUUCCUGCCUCUGCUGCCAUGCCCUUCCAUAAUGGACUCUUAGCCCUUUGGAAAUGUAAGCCCAAAUAAACUCUUUCUUUUUU
ensembl:lincRNA 1300002E11Rik RIKEN cDNA 1300002E11 gene